rnacentral:lncRNA from 1 species
GGGCUGACAUACAUUCUGUCUGCGAGGCUCAACUGAUGAAGGUACAGAGGUAGGCUGUCGAAGAUCGAUAGCGGGCUGAGCAGCGAGCUCAAGAGUUGGUUGCAUGCAUCGACGAGUAUCAGAAGCUCCAAAUUCAGAUGAUGGAGCAGAUGGUACAGAUAAAGCAGAUGAUACGAUUGAUGAGGCAGCAGUAGAUCGGUCCGAGCUCUUUCGAGUGCUCUCCUUCCCCAGCUCAUUCUCCAGAUACUGAUACUUGACGGUUUCUUUAUAUAGUUUUUUAUUUUUAUUUUAAAUCUCUUAUAAUUUUAAUUUAAUAUA